rnacentral:lncRNA from 1 species
AUUUAUUAAAUAAGUGAUCUUUCUUUUAGUUAACUUUUCGACUUCUCGUCUUCUAAUGGUCCGUUUGCCAUCAGGGCAGAAUAUUUAAGUAAAUAAUGAAAGUCGGGCUGGUAAGUAAUCUUGAGUUUAUAUCGAGCCGAACAUGACCGACUCAUGACUCAUGAAUAAUAAGCUAGAUUGUCAGUCCUAGUUGUAGGAAUUCGAACACCUCCUCAUAUCUGUAAAGAGAUCAGAAUUUUUGUUUUUGAGAGAUAGGUAGCACGCUACCGAUCUUGUUUAUUUCAUUUAGAAAAUAAACUUAGCUGAAAACAUGAAUCAACUAGAAUUCGAAUUUAGAAUUCCGAAUACCAACCACUAAAUUUUUUGCCACUUGCUAUAGGGUGGAUAAGAAAUCAGAAUUUUGACUUC